AAAGCAGGGAUUGUGUGUAUUGGUGUUGUGCUAGUUUUGAGUGCAUUUUGCUUGAAAGAUUUCUCUGCAAGUAGAUAUAGAAUUGUGUUUCAUCUUCUUAGUUGAAAGAUUUCAACAAUCAUCUUCCCCAAAUUC